rnacentral:rRNA from 1 species
UGGGGAAUAUUGCGCAAUGGGCGAAAGCCUGACGCAGCGACGCCGCGUGAGGGACGAAGGCCUUCGGGUUGUAAACCUCUUUCAGCAGGGACGAAGCGAGAGUGACGGUACCUGCAGAAGAAGCACCGGCCUACUACGUGCCAGCAGCCGCGGUAAUACGUAGGGUGCAAGCGUUGUCCGGAAUUAUUGGGCGUAAAGAGCUCGUAGGCGGUCUGUUGCGUCGGCUGUGAAAACCCGGGGCUCAACCCCGGGCCUGCAGCCGAUACGGGCAGACUAGAGUUCGGCAGGGGAGACUGGAAUUCCUGGUGUAGCGGUGAAAUGCGCAGAUAUCAGGAGGAACACCGGUGGCGAAGGCGGGUCUCUGGGCCGAUACUGACGCUGAGGAGCGAAAGCGUGGGGAGCAAACAGG